GACGAACGCUGGCGGCGUGCUUAACACAUGCAAGUCGAGCGAGAUCCAUCCAGUGGCAACACUGGUGAAGAUCUAGCGGCGAACGGGUGAGUAACACGUGAGCAACCUGCCCCGAAGACCGGGAUAACAGCGGGAAACCGCUGCUAAUACCGGAUGCCCUUCUAUGGUCGCAUGGCCUAAGAAGGAAAUGAAUUUCGCUUCGGGAGGGGCUCGCGGGCUAUCAGCUAGUUGGUGAGGUAACGGCUCACCAAGGCUACGACGGCUAGCUGGUCUGAGA
rnacentral:rRNA from 1 species